rnacentral:sRNA from 1 species
UUUUUUGUUUGAGAAACUUUAUGGAUUUCUCGUGGAUGAAAAUGCCCUAAAUAUUUAGUUGAAAUUGUAAGAGUGAUGAAUCAUAUAUAUGAAAGUUGGUCAACUCUCUUCAUAUGAGUGAUCAUACAAGAAAAUGACAUGUGUCAUUCUACAUUAAUUAAAUAAACAAAU